rnacentral:rRNA from 1 species
CGAACGCUGGCGGCACGCCUCAUACAUGCAAGUCGAGCGCGAAACCACCUUCGGGUGAUGUAGAGCGGCGAACGGGUGAGUAACAGGUGGGUAAUCUGCCCUUUGGCGGGGGACAACAGCUGGAAACGGCUGCUAAUACCGCAUGUGAUUGUGGACUUAUGGUCUGCAAGGAAAGGCGCCUCAAAGCGCCACCAAAGGAUGAGCCCGCCCCCCAUUAGCUAGUUGGUGAGAUAACAGCUCACCAAGGCAUCGAUGGGUAGCCGAGCUGAGAGGUUGAUCGGCCACACUGGAACUGAGACACGGUCCAGACACCUACGGGUGGCAGCAGUAGGGAAUAUUGCGCAAUGGGCGAAAGCCUGACGCAGCGAUGCCGCGUGAGUGACGAAGGUCUUAGGAUUGUAAAGCUCUUUUCUGAGGGAAGAAUAGGUCUGGUAGGAAAUGACUGGAUUCUGACGGUACCUCAGGAAUAAGGAACGGCUAACUCCGUG